UGCAUCCGGCAGUGGAAGUUAUAAGGGUUGCGUUCCACACCCAGUAACUUCCGGGGACGGAUGCGUUCCACCCAAUAAACAUAACGAAGGCACAUAGCCGCGCCUCCUAUGACACACUUCCGGCUCACUGGUAUAAAACAGUGAAAAAGCCGCGAUCAUGGCACAUCACCUCCAUCCAGUGAUGUCCAAGCACCUAGAGGCCAAUGAUAGGGUAAGUGCCGUUUUGACCAAGGGAGGGCUCCGUUUUCGUUGGAAACUAUCUGCGUCCAAUGUGGGGCACACAUCUUUGCUCAUUGCACUGUAUUGUAUCUUUCACUUCAGGCCCCAAAGUGGAAGGUCUAAUUAGACCCUAGAUGGCAAUCUGUCAGUAAAUCCACCAGGGCAUUAUCAUUUGCUGGGAUCACAUGGUCCAGAGUAUAAACAAUAAACACCGUCAGUCUACAUAGGAGAAUUAACCACCCAAGCCCUCAUACAUGGUUAUUCAAAACCAAGUUCAUCUACAUAUGCAUAGAACCUGAAUGGCACUAUAUCUAUGUGUGGAAGUAACAACCACUCUAUGUUAUUGUCAAUAGUGGAACCUACAUGGAUGUGAUGACACAUAUAUGACUGUGGUGUUACAUAUAAAUAAUCUUUAUGUUUUAUUGAAUUUAAAGUUAUGACAUGGUGACCUGUGGUUAUUAGACUGACUUUGGACUCUUUGACGGGGUAUACAGCACUCUGAAUGAUUGUUUCGGACUGCAAACUUACCAAUCUGGACACAAACUGUGGUUCCAACUUGCCAGUGACUGACUGACACAUCUAUCUCUUCUAUCUAAUGUUUAUCUGGUCGGUAUUAGACCAUCUAUUGAUCUUGACUAUCUACUGUUUUGAACUUAGUCCAUAUAUACCUAUUUCUAUGUACCCUGGUGUGAUAUGACUAUAUACU